AUGUCAGCUGUUUUUAUCUUUGUGAAGCAGUAUUCAUCAAGUGAUAGAUCGGCCACUCACUCAUAGACAAAGCGAGCAUGAUAUGGACCGUCAUAAGACAGGUU
rnacentral:ncRNA from 1 species